CGGGAAAGCCCCGGGUUCUGAAGUUCAUUUGCGUAUCUGAUGUCACUGGGAUUUCUGGUCCUUACUGAAAGCAUUAUUUUGAACAUUAGCUGCGAGUUACGGGCAAUUGCACUCAUCAGAAUAAGAGGACGGCAGUGGUGGUGAUAGAUCCUUUUGUCUUAUUUAGUCAGAGUCAUGUGCGCUGGGUGCAGCUCAGAGGUGCUGUGAAUGAGACAUCUGAAAUGUCUAUGCUGCAGGAUGCUCCAGCUACAAUAUCUUCAGAAAUCCCUGCUGUGGAUGUGCUGCACCAAGAUCUGACCUCUACCACAGACCUCUCCUUUGCCAGCUGCUGAGAAAGGAUUGUCGUAUCAAAUAGUCCAUUUGCUAAGCUAUCUUUAAAGGCCUGGCCAUGUGUGAAAACAAACCCAUUCAUGGAUCCCUUGAGAGCUACAGACAAGAGUUAUCUUUCCUACCCAACUGAAGGAUGAGAUUUUAAGGGGUAAAAGAGUCAGCUGUCAAAAUCUCCUCCUUGGAGGAGUCUGUACAGAUAAGUAACAGCCUAGGGCCUCAAAAAUGCCAUUAUUUCCAGCCCACUCAGGGCCUAGAUAAUAUUCAAGUAUGUCAGAAUUUUAAGCAUUCUUCUGGGAGAAGACCUGGUAUUUCUCUGGGGAUUUAUUAUCUUGGUUUUCUUCAGAUCACAUAUUCUUUUAGAUAGAAAAAGCACAUCAGUGAUGUGGUCUGGAAAAAAAAAAAAAAAAAAAAGAAAUAUUUAGCAUGAGCUCUUUCUUCAGUAUAUAGUUUUCUUGGGUUAAUGCUGGGUAACUUGAAACUUUCCCAUAGCUAUGAAAGAAUCAUAGAAUUUGGGUUGGAAGGGACCUUUAAGAUCAUCUAGUUCCAACCUGCUGCUAUAGGCAGGGACACCUCCUGCUAGAUUAGAUUGCUCAAAGCCCCAUCCAGUUUGGCCUUGAAUGCUUCCAGGGAGGGGGCACAAACCCAUUGAGGACAACUGUCCAGUCAAUUCCUUAUUCGGUGAAUGGUCCAGCCAUCAAAUCCAUUUUUCUCCAAUUUUGCAACCAGAAUGUCAUGAAGGACAGAGUCAAACGUCAAGUCCACAUAGAUCACAGAAUCACCAAGGUUGGAAAAGACCUUCAAUAUCAUCCAGUCCAACCAUCCACUUAUCACCAAUAGAUGAUGUCAGUUUCUCUUCCUUUAUCCACUGAUACUGUAAUUCCAUCAUAAAAGGCCACCAAGUUUAUCAGGCAUGACUUGUCUUAGUGAAGCCACUUUGGUUACCACCAAUCACCUCUUUAUUUUCCAUGUGCCGUGGUAGGGCCUUCAGGAGGAUCUGCUCCAUGAUCUUGCCAGGCACAGAGGUGAGGCCUGUAGUUCCCUGGAUCUUCUUUUUUUUUCCUUCUUGAAAAUAAAGUUACAUUUCCCCUCAUCCUAUCAGUGGGAACUUCACCAGACCACCAUGAUCUUUGUCACGUUGUUUGCUUUCUACACUUUAAAAAAUUUUCAGCAAUGGGAAGAACAAGGGGGAAUCUAGCAGGUAUUCUGGGACCUAACUCCAAAUAUUUGCAGCUCAAGUAAUAGAUAACACAGCUAGCAAGGACGAAAUAGUGAAUGGGCAUAACCUUUGCCAGUUUGGGUGAAAGGCAGUGACGUAAAAAUGCUCAGAAGGCUAGGUAGGAUUGGAACAACAAGAGCUUUAGAGACUGACACUGCCACCUUCUCCUCAGUGCAAGAGGAUGGGCAAAAGUACCCCUGAAACUUAUCAAGAGAGAUUGUUUGUAUGGAUGAUGGAGGGAUUAACUCACACUUUUUUAACUGGACAAUUCAAAACUUUGUAUGUACAAAACCUAGAAAAUCUUUUAUCUAAUAGAGCUCAGCCCAGCAAGUGCUUAUAUACAACAGUGACAAACUUUGUUGCAGAAAGGGAGAUGAGCUGGAUUCUUAAGCUAAGAUCUUCAGUUGUGCCCCAGAGCAGCAGGCUCUUCGCGUGGUAUUGUUUUUUUUCCCUCUCUCUCCUACUGAGCUUCCUUCUCAGGCAUUUGGUAUGGGGUUGAGUUAAUGGUACUAGUGUGAUGACCGUGUAGGACCCCUGCCUUUCUAACUCAGAGAUCAGGAAUUCCAAAACUAUAGUUAAGGACACCAGGCAAGUCCUUCUGUGCUCUGGACAGCCUGGUCUGGUUGUUGGCAACUCUGCCUGUGCCAAGGGGGUUUAAACUAGAUGAUCAUUGAGGUCCUUUUCAACCCAGGCUAAACUGUGAUUCUAUGAUUCUGUGUCUCCCACAGAGCCCCUCAGAGGCUGAGUACUGGGCUGCAGUUGGCUCUUGUACAGGUGACCACUGGAUAGGAGUCUAUCAGGAAUGCACUUACGCAAUGAGGGUUUCUGAACACUUCAGAAUGUAAUAAUCAGGAGUAAAUGUAUACAGAGGCAGUUCAAGAGAAUGAAAAAGGGCCAAGAAGGACUCCCAGUACUGAACAGGAACCAGGGAGAAGCUAGUUGUGAGUGGGUUAUUCAAGUCAGUACGUUCUGGCUGUUUAAAACAAAAUCAUGCUGAGAGCAUAUGGAUCACCAGCACCCACAAUGAAAUAUCACAGCUAGACUCUAGCUGCAAAGAGAGCCUGAUCAUAACAGGAAACAGCGGAGGCAGGCUCGUGGUGCUGUGAUGCAUCGGGUAGGGCAUGGUGAUUGCUAAUAUUCAACCACAAAGGCUUUUAGUCCAUGCACAACUAUGGAGAACAGCCAGGGCUUUUUUCUAUUUGGUUCAUGGGAUGACAAAGGAGGAGCUCUAUGGUCAGGAAGGAAGGAGGGCUUGCAAGGUAUAUUAAUCUCUUACGGAAUCAGCAGAAUUAUACCAGGGCUGAAUUUGAGAUAAAUGAAGUGAGACCAAAUUAUUGUGGCAAUUCUUGCCAAGUUUAUUAGAAAUAUCAGAGUUCUGUGCACAAGUGUCAGUAGUUUGCCUGCCCUAGUUCAUACUGAGUGUGACAGAGACUGACAGUCUUCGUUGAUCUUUCAUAAGAUCACAACAAUUCCUGCAAUAAGAUGUCAGUGACAUUAUGAAAGAAAAGGUAAUUUAAAAUAUUCAUAUAUGGUUUUCCAUAUUCUCAUUUAUACCCCUUCCUCCACCCCUCCCCCCCCCCCCCCAAAAAAUCACAUAAGGUGAUUCAUUAAAGAUUUCCCUGGGCAUUAUGCCAGCACCCAUGAAAAAAAUAUUCAAAAACCAAAUGAAGAAUCUCUGACCAUCCAGUAAUUGUUUGUUGUUGUAGAAAAUAAAGAAGGAAAGAAUGUGUGGAGGAGGAAACAAAGAGCUGGGUUUUAUGGGAAUAGAAAGCAGUGAACAGGAAAGAGAGCUCUGCAGGGACAGCAAUAACAAAUCUCAUCUCUUCAAAAGUCCUGUGGCUGCCAUCUACACAGGAUCUGCCGACACUGUUCAAAGAUCACAGUCAGCGCAAAGAGUGCAUCCAGCCUGGCCCUGAGCAUCUCCAGGAAUGGGAUAUCCACACUUCUCUGGACAACCUAUGCCAGGGCCUCACCGCCCUCUGAGCAAAGAAAUUCCUCCUCGCAUUUAACAAAAUUCCCUGAGUUAAAACUACAAAAAAGCCCUCAACAUCAAAACCGGUCUUCCAAGCCUAAACAUAUUUUGAGACAAUCUCCAAGCCUAGAUGAUUUCUUCCUUCACGAACAGAAACAUCCAUACUCAGCAAUCCUGGGGGCAGAGAGGAUUUGUCCACUGCUGCAGAUGUCUCUGUUCAUUGCAGGGGAGUUGGACUAGAUGACCUUUAAGUGUUCCUUUCAACCCAACUGAUUAUAUGAAGUUUGUACAGUGGUUUGAAAAUACAGAAGUCCUCCAUAUCAUUCUGUUUUAGAAACCAUACUGCUAUCAGCAUACCUAAGUCCCUCUCAGUGAAUGAUUCCUUCUCAGCAUACAGCUAAUCAUUAAGCAGAAAAGAUGGAUCCUCAAGAGCACAGGAAAUAUCAGAAGUCCUCACCGAAGCCAGAGAGUUAGAUGGCCUUCUGACACUCUAAGGGCUGAGUCAGAACAUACCAAACUUUUGUUUGGAAUGGGCCUUUGGGAUUUCUGUGCUGAGAGAAGCAGCAGGGCAUGGAUCAAGCUGUGUCUUCCCUGAACCACAGCACAAGGCUUCACUAACUUGUCAGCAAGCCUCCCUGGACUCACAGUGCUCCAUCUUUUCAGAGGGAUCGUGGAGAUAAACAGCGUGCAGCAAUUUCCUAUGGCACCAAUUACCAACCGUAUGAGUGGAGCCUCAUAGAUUAGAGUGCUAAAGUCUGUCUCUGCAGGGAAGAGCAAAUUGCCUCACACAGAGCUCUAAGACUACCACAGAACACUUGUUGUCCUCUGCUGACAGCUACCAGAAGAGCACCGAAUCAAAACCAGUCAGCAGGCACCCGGUUUGCUGGAAGGAGUUUGAUCUGAUGCAUGCUUGUACUCCCUAGUUACUGUCCACAUCCCUCAUAGCAGGACAUCCAAAAUAAGGAACAGACCUACAUGUUUUGAAACACAUUGAGAACUAGAGAAUGAGUUUGAGAUUUUUUUGCUUCCUAGCUACACCAAAAUAACUAUUUUCAUGUCUGAAGUAAUUAUUUUCAUUAUUCUUAUCAUUGUAGAAUUCAAUAUGUAUAUAUGCUCACACUUACCCAGUUCCAGGACCUCAGGAUUUUAAAAACUCAAAGCUAAAUCAUCAACACUGGCACUAUUGCUUUACUUCACUACAAUGAACGUCAGUGUUAAAAUAAUAGAAGACGUGGCUCCGUAUCUCUGAAAGUGUUAAAACUAAUGCUCGUGUGAAAGAAGCCUUAGUUCUAAACUUUACACUGUACUGGAUAUUCUCUCCGAAGGACUGGCCCGCAAUACUGACCAUACUUUAUUACUUCAAGUCAUACUCUGACUAUUGUAUGUUUCAUAAUCCAUGAAGUUUGACUUCUUAAUCAUUUUUGUCAUUGGCUUUUUCAUCUCAUGCUGUAAAUCAGCAUUACAGAGAUAAAAAGACACUUCUGGUUAAGAUUUUUGCAUUCGAUAAAAGCAGCAAAAAAAAAAAAAAAAAAAAGAAAAAGAAAAAGUAAUUUACCUCCAAC